GAUGAACGCUGGCGGCGUGCCUAAUACAUGCAAGUCGAGCGAACGGACGAGAAGCUUGCUUCUCUGAUGUUAGCGGCGGACGGGUGAGUAACACGUGGAUAACCUACCUAUAAGACUGGGAUAACUUCGGGAAACCGGAGCUAAUACCGGAUAAUAUUUUGAACCGCAUGGUUCAAAAGUGAAAGACGGUCUCGCUGUCACUUAUAGAUGGAUCCGCGCUGCAUUAGCUAGUUGGUAAGGUAACGGCUUACCAAGGCAACGAUGCUUAGCCGACCUGAGAGGGUGAUCGGCCACACUGGAACUGAGACACGGUCCAGACUCCUACGGGAGGCAGCAGUAGGGAAUCUUCCGCAAUGGGCGAAAGCCUGACGCAGCAACGCCGCGUGAGUGAUGAAGGUCUUCGGAUCGUAAAACUCUGUUAUUAGGGAAGAACAUAUGUGUAAGUAACUGUGCACAUCUUGACGGUACCUAAUCAGAAAGCCACGGCUAACUACGUG
rnacentral:rRNA from 1 species